rnacentral:rRNA from 1 species
UCGAUUUGGAGUUUGUUGCCCUGAGUGAUGGGCUCCGAAGCUAACGCGAUAAAUCGACCGCCUGGGGAGUACGGCCGCAAGGUUAAAACUCAAAUGAAUUGACGGGGGCCCGCACAAGCGGUGGAGCAUGUGGUUUAAUUCGAUGCAACGCGAAGAACCUUACCUGGUCUUGACAUCCACAGAAUCUUGCAGAGAUGCGAGAGUGCCUUCGGGAACUGUGAGACAGGUGCUGCAUGGCUGUCGUCAGCUCGUGUUGUGAAAUGUUGGGUUAAGUCCCGCAACGAGCGCAACCCUUAUCCUUUGUUGCCAGCGGUUUGGCCGGGAACUCAAAGGAGACUGCCGUUGAUAAAGCGGAGGAAGGUGGGGACGACGUCAAGUCAUCAUGGCCCUUACGACCAGGGCUACACACGUGCUACAAUGGCGUAUACAAAGGGAGGCGACCUCGCGAGAGCAGGCGGACCUCACAAAGUACGUCUAAGUCCGGAUUGGAGUCUGCAACUCGACUCCAUGAAGUCGGAAUCGCUAGUAAUCGUGAAUCAGAAUGUCACGGUGAAUACGUUCCCGGGCCU